UACGGGGGGAGCAAACGUUGUUCGGAAUCACUGGGCGUAAAGGGCGUGUAGGCGGCUGGAUAAGUGGGAUGUUAAAUCCCCCGGCUCAACCGGGGACCUGCAUCUCAUACUGUUCAGCUCGAGCACAUCAGAGGAGACUGGAAUUCCCGGUGUAGCGGUGAAAUGCGUAGAUAUCUGGAGGAACACCGGUGGCGAAGGCGGCUUCCUGGACCGACACUGACGCUGAGGCGCGAAAGCUAGGGUAGCAAACGGG
rnacentral:rRNA from 1 species